rnacentral:lncRNA from 1 species
ACAGGGUACAAUGAGUAGAUGGGUCCCAGCUGUGCUCACAAUGGCCACCUUAGACAAACGAUCAGCCUUUAUUUCACCCUUCCAAGGUUCAGCCCUUCCAGGUGGGAGGGAAAGGAAUACAAGGCUUGCCCAGCUCUGUGGUACAAGAUGAAUUAUAUUAGGUAAACAAUAACGGAAGAAGAUGGCUACAAUGCUGAAUAAUAUGCAAACCAGAAGAAUGCUGCAGGAUCUUGGGGGGCAGGAAUAUGCAAGGCACUUACCACAGCACUGGCAGAAGCAAGCCAGGACAUCAGUUCACUUCGAAACCUUAAAGAGGAAUAGAUACAUUUUGGUAGGCAUCAAACAAGCUGUCCUUCAUGCACUUUGUCUAGAUGACACACUUCUCUGACAGAAGAAUGCCAGGAACACCAGCUCUUCCCCAUACCCUGAACAUGUCCAGAGGAGGUGCAGGAUUCUCCCACUCUACUCUGUUUUAAUAAACUUUGUUGCUAUUUUUAGCCUUAUGCUCUUUUUUGCUCAUAAAAUUCAGUUAUGGCCAC